rnacentral:lncRNA from 1 species
CUCUGCACCAUGCUUUAACCAGGCCUGAAGCAUGUAUAUAAUAAUACAGAGAUCUAUCUAUCUAUCUAUCUAUCUAUCUAUCUAUCUAUCUAUCUAUCUGUCUAUCUAUCUGUCUAUCUAUCUGUCUAUCUGUCUAUCUAUCCUGAAGUAUAUAAUCUAUAUAUAGAUAUAGAACUUCUGUAUAUUUAUAUAAGUUCUGUGCUGCUCCUGCUUUAUGGGUGAGGAAAGGGGAUAGUGUAUGUAUCCUGAACAAAGAACUUAACUUUUCCUUGUACUCUCCUUUGUAGCCUAGCAAGUCUUUUGGCGAGAAGAAUUAUAAUCCUUCUCCUAGCAGCACUUCAUGAACUGAAAUCAUUCUCUAGGAUGAUGAUGACAUGCCAGUUCUUGGUAUAUGGACAUGAGUCCUGAGAUCCCACACGUGGAUACACAAAAGGACUACAUAGAAUGCUGAAGAUUGGGAAGAUACCCUUGUGGGAAAGGUGUCUGCAUAUUGAUGACAUCAGGGGUUUGACCUGGCAGUCUUCCAGUGCUCAAAUCACUGCUUCCACCUUGGCAGAUGCAGGUUUAGAGAGUUUCUGAAAUGUUCUAGCACAGAGAGAAGAGGACCCAAAAGUCGCAGCUGGAGAGGAGAUCCUAGAGGGACAUCACCCCUGAAGGACAGUGAUCUCUGCUUUUCACCAGCUGUCAGCACUGCUGAUCCAUGUGGGCUAGGCAGGGCGAUGCUGCCUUCUUCAUGUAAAUCAGAAGAGCAAGGAAAGCUAAUUGACAGCUCAGUACAGGCCUCAGGAAUAAUGGCAGGUGGGUCCUGGACUGGACAACAGUGGCAACUUUUACCCCAUGACUGUUGGCUACUGACUGAAAUCAAUUGCUGUACCUCAAUUUAUAGCAACAAAUAUUUGGUCUUGCUUGAAUCUACUUGA